rnacentral:rRNA from 1 species
AUGGAGAGAAACGAACGAGGAGGUCGAGCAGUCUGUGGUGUCGCCGCAGUCGUCCUCAUCCCUCGUGCGUGCUGCCGGAGAGACGAUCCGCCGGAAGCUCGACUAUAUGUGCCCGCAUCUCUUUCCUUCCUUUCCUCCGCAUGUCAUUUUUUGUGUCAUUCUCCUCCCUUUUUUCAGAAAAUGCUCUUGGAGUUGCAGCCUUUUAGGGAAGAGACUCUUCAAGAGUGCUUUUGGUUAGAAGCUGCAAAAUGGAAAUGUGUUGGAGCUAUUGACAAUUUGACAUCACUCAAUAUCUGUUCAGAUAUACUCAAUAUCUGUUCAGAUAUAUAUUUGCCUAGCCCAGGGAUAUUGAAUGCAACAUUUGGUUGA